rnacentral:sRNA from 1 species
UGGUUCGGUCCGGAGUCAAUGGGUUAUCCCAUUACGAACUACCCCAUUGACACCAACUUGACCGUUGU